rnacentral:tRNA from 1 species
GGGCGAUUAGCUCAGUUGGAUAGAGCACUACCUUGACAUGGUAGGGGUCACAGGUUCAAGUCCUGUAUCGCCCACCA